AUUGAACGCUGGCGGCGUGCCUAAUACAUGCAAGUCGAACGGAGUGGCGCACGGGUGAGUGAUAUAUAGCUAAUCUGCCCCUUGCUGGAGGGCAAAAGAUAGAAAUGACUGCUAAUACUCCAUAUGAAGGGAGGAGACUAUAACGUAUCAGCUCGUCGGUGUGGUAACGGCCUACCGAGGCUAUGACGCGUAACUGGUCUGAGAGGAUGAUCAGUCACAUUGGAACGGAGACACGGUCCAAACUCCUACGGCAAGGAGCAGUAGGGAAUAUUGCGCAAUGGGGGAAAAUCUGACGCAGCAUCGCCGCGUGGAGGAUGACACGUUUCGGAGCGUAAACUCCUGUUGUUAGGGAAGCGGUACCUAACGAAUAAGCACCGGCUAACUCCGUGCCAGCAGCCGCGGUAAUAC
rnacentral:rRNA from 1 species